UACGGGGGGUGCGAGCGUUGUCCGGAAUCACUGGGCGUAAAGGGCGCGUAGGUGGUUUGAUAAGGGUGUGGUGAAAGUCCGGGGCUCAACCCCGGAUCUGCCGUGCCGACUGUCAGACUGGAGGGCUCGAGAGGCAGGCGGAAUUCCGGGUGUAGCGGUGGAAUGCGUAGAGAUCCGGAAGAAGACCGGUGGCGAAGGCGGCCUGCUGGCGAGUACCUGACACUGAGGCGCGACAGCGUGGGGAGCAAACAGG
rnacentral:rRNA from 2 species